GUUGAAACAUCAGUUCUUGUAUAAUCACUGAAGUUAAGCAAUGUUGAGUCUGGCCAGUACCAAGAUGGGUGGCUACUUGGGAAUAGCAGGUGCUGUAAG